GUGUGUUCCAGGUAAAUCCGGUUCACUUUAACACUGAGGCGUGACGACGAGGCACUACGGUGCUGAAGCAACAAAUGCCCUGCUUCCAGGAAAAGCCUCUAAGCAUCAGGUAACAUCAAAUCGUACCCCAAACCGACACAGGUGGUCAGGUAGAGAAUACCAAGGCGCUUGAGAGAACUCGGGUGAAGGAACUAGGCAAAAUGGUGCCGUAACUUCGGGAGAAGGCACGCUGACACGUAGGUGAAGUGAUUUACUCAUGGAGCUGAAGUCAGUCGAAGAUACCAGCUGGCUGCAACUGUUUAUUAAAAACACAGCACUGUGCAAACACGAAAGUGGACGUAUACGGUGUGACGCCUGCCCGGUGCCGGAAGGUUAAUUGAUGGGGUCAGCGCAAGCGAAGCUCCUGAUCGAAGCCCCGGUAAACGGCGGCCGUAACUAUAACGGUCCUAAGGUAGCGAAAUUCCUUGUCGGGUAAGUUCCGACCUGCACGAAUGGCGUAAUGAUGGCCAGGCUGUCUCCACCCGAGACUCAGUGAAAUUGAACUCGCUGUGAAGAUGCAGUGUACCCGCGGCAAGACGGAAAGACCCCGUGAACCUUUACUAUAGCUUGACACUGAACAUUGAGCCUUGAUGUGUAGGAUAGGUGGGAGGCUUUGAAGUGUGGACGCCAGUCUGCAUGGAGCCGACCUUGAAAUACCACCCUUUAAUGUUUGAUGUUCUAACGUGGACCCGUUACCCGGGUUGCGGACAGUGUCUGGUGGGUAGUUUGACUGGGGCGGUCUCCUCCUAAAGAGUAACGGAGGAGCACGAAGGUUGGCUAAUCCUGGUCGGACAUCAGGAGGUUAGUGCAAUGGCAUAAGCCAGCUUGACUGCGAGCGUGACGGCGCGAGCAGGUGCGAAAGCAGGUCAUAGUGAUCCGGUGGUUCUGAAUGGAAGGGCCAUCGCUCAACGGAUAAAAGGUACUCCGGGGAUAACAGGCUGAUACCGCCCAAGAGUUCAUAUCGACGGCGGUGUUUGGCACCUCGAUGUCGGCUCAUCACAUCCUGGGGCUGAAGUAGGUCCCAAGGGUAUGGCUGUUCGCCAUUUAAAGUGGUACGCGAGCUGGGUUUAGAACGUCGUGAGACAGUUCGGUCCCUAUCUGCCGUGGGCGCUGGAGAACUGAGGGGGGCUGCUCCUAGUACGAGAGGACCGGAGUGGACGCAUCACUGGUGUUCGGGUUGUCAUGCCAAUGGCACUGCCCGGUAGCUAAAUGCGGAAGAGAUAAGUGCUGAAAGCAUCUAAGCACGAAACUUGCCCCGA
rnacentral:rRNA from 5 species